rnacentral:rRNA from 1 species
UAGGGAAUCUUCCACAAUGGACGCAAGUCUGAUGGAGCAACGCCGCGUGAGUGAAGAAGGUUUUCGGAUCGUAAAGCUCUGUUGUUGGUGAAGAAGGAUAGAGGUAGUAACUGGCCUUUAUUUGACGGUAAUCAACCAGAAAGUCACGGCUAACUACGUGCCAGCAGCCGCGGUAAUACGUAGGUGGCAAGCGUUGUCCGGAUUUAUUGGGCGUAAAGCGAGCGCAGGCGGAAGAAUAAGUCUGAUGUGAAAGCCCUCGGCUUAACCGAGGAACUGCAUCGGAAACUGUUUUUCUUGAGCGCAGAAGAGGAGAGUGGAAUUCCAUGUGUAGCGGUGGAAUGCGUAGAUAUAUGGAAGAACACCAGUGGCGAAGGCGACUCUCUGGUCUGCAACUGACGCUGAGGCUCGAAAGCAUGGGUAGCGAACAGG